rnacentral:lncRNA from 10 species
AGAAAUCAUUGGCGAAGCCAAUGGCAAACAACAAAUAAGAAAUAAUUCUUGCUUCACUUUGGGAUACAUUAUACACUUUAUGCAGUGGUGACAGAUUUAAUUUUAUUUAACAAGCUAACAUCAGAAUUAGUUUGUACUCCCUGUACACAGACCAACUGGGCCAGGUUAACACAGUAAAAACAUUUAUGGAAGUAAAAACAUCCCAUAAAUGUGAAAUUCUUGAAAGGCAUCUGAGACUCAAAAUAAAAUUAGAAAGUGAUUUGAGAAGUAAUAAACACAGGGUAAAGGUUGAAUAGGCACAAUAAAGUCCGUAACUAUAGCUACAGAAUACAUGAAUUGAAAGUAGAGAGCUGGAAGUAGAGUUUCCUGGAAUG